CCGAGCGAUGAAGCACCUUCGGGUGUGAAUCAGCGGCGAACGGGUGAGGAACACGUGAGAAAUCUGCCUUCAACACUGGGAUAACUCCGGGAAACCGGGGCUAAUACCGGAUAUGAAAUCUGCGGGCAUCCGCGGAUUUGGAAAGUUUUUCGGUUGAAGAUGAUCUCGCGGCCUAUCAGCUUGUUGGUGAGGUAAUGGCUCACCAAGGCGACGACGGGUAGCCGGCCUGAGAGGGUGACCGGCCACACUGGGACUGAGACACGGCCCAGACUCCUACGGGAGGCAGCAGUGGGGAAUAUUGCACAAUGGGCGAAAGCCUGAU
rnacentral:rRNA from 1 species